rnacentral:lncRNA from 1 species
CGAAUUUAAUUAUUUAUUAUCAGCAGCAACUUAGGAAUUAACACCGUUCAUGUCAAUUCAAAAACACAGCCUGAUAGAAUAGAGAUACAAAGAUAGUCAAGAUUUCAAUACUCAUUUUCUCUCUUUCCAUUCCCUUUUCCACCCGCAAAGACGCGUAAUUCCUUCGCCAUUUCACCUCUCUCUCUCUCUCUGUAAGUUUCCAAUUCCUCCGGCAUUACACCUAAUUUUGAUGAAUUUACAAUGUGAAUCUCUACAGAAAACGUAGAUACAUGCGCGUGAUUAUACGUGUAAGCUCUAAAUUUGGUUCGCGGCGAAGAUUUGAAUCGUGAUCGAACAGUGAAUUAAGAUCCGUAAAUCGUAACCUUUAGAUACGGAACGGUAAUCUAAUGUAGUU